AAUCUUUGAAUAGAUCAAAUAGUUUGUUUGUGGGGUUGUACUUGAAAGAUAUAAAAGAAACAAAAGUAAUAAAGGAACCAUAGUUUAUAUUCCAGUUCUCCAGUCACAUUUAAGAAAUUCAGGAGACUAGCUAGCUAUCUGCAACUCAAAAAGAUUAGAAGGUUGUUGUACACUUCCCAUUCAGAACUUAUAUUGUUUUUGUUUUUUUCUCAAGAAUAGUAUUAGUAUUCUCUGUGAGUUUUUCUAUUUAUUUGCUCAACUAGUUAUCAUUCUGAUUAGGCUUUUUAUACACGUUUCAAUUGUAUUGUAUUCGCUCAAAUAGCAGUUUCGUUUUUUUCCUUUUUCCCCUUUUCCUGAACUUUAUAAUAGCAUUCAAUAUUUACUGAUUCCAUAUUCACUGUACCUUAAACAAUGGGUGUAGUCUUUAGCUACAAUUAUGUUAUUAAAGCUUUCGAUUCCCUUCAACUCCAUCAAAUUCAAAAAGAAAUAUUUGGAGUCAGUCUACUAGCAUCAACAGUGGAAAGUGUCUUUGAAAAUUGACAACAACCAAUUCUUCUUGAAUUUUUUAAAGGUGCAGGGAACCGGUUUUGAAGAACUCACCAGAGAUGGUGAAAGGCAUGUUUGAAUCAGAAAACAAAAGGAAAAGUAGUGCAAAGAAUGCAAUAGUGUUCACGAUGGGAUGUUUAAUUGGAAGUGGAAGACAGAGAUUCUUAGUGGUGAUUGUUUUCAAGAAAGUAUUGAUGAACUCCUGUAAAUGUGAUGGAUAUAAGUCUAAAGACUGCUUUUGGAGGAUGAAGAGACCAACAAUCCCUAUUUUCCUCAUGUAUGACAUUUAUCUAUAUCAAACGAAAAGCUACAACUAUCAUUUAUGAUAGGUGUAAAUUAUUCAUGUAAUUUUAUACAUAAAAAAAUAAGUUUUAAAAUAAAACAUGAAUAAUUAUAUCUUA